rnacentral:rRNA from 1 species
AUUGAACGCUGGCGGCAUGCCUUACACAUGCAAGUCGAACGGCAGCGGGGGUAGCUUGCUACCUGCCGGCGAGUGGCGAACGGGUGAGUAAUACAUCGGAACGUGCCCUGUAGUGGGGGAUAACUAGUCGAAAGACUAGCUAAUACCGCAUACGACCUGAGGGUGAAAGUGGGGGACCGCAAGGCCUCAUGCUAUAGGAGCGGCCGAUGUCUGAUUAGCUAGUUGGUGGGGUAAGGGCCCACCAAGGCGACGAUCAGUAGCUGGUCUGAGAGGACGAUCAGCCACACUGGGACUGAGACACGGCCCAGACUCCUACGGGAGGCAGCAGUGGGGAAUUUUGGACAAUGGGGGCAACCCUGAUCCAGCAAUGCCGCGUGUGUGAAGAAGGCCUUCGGGUUGUAAAGCACUUUUGUCCGGAAAGAAAUCGCACUGGUUAAUACCUGGUGUGGAUGACGGUACCGGAAGAAUAAGGACCGGCUAACUACGUGCCAGCAGCCGCGGUAAUACGUAGGGUCCAAGCGUUAAUCGGAAUUACUGGGCGUAAAGCGUGCGCAGGCGGUUGUGCAAGACCGAUGUGAAAUCCCCGGGCUUAACCUGGGAAUUGCAUUGGUGACUGCACGGCUAGAGUGUGUCAGAGGGAGGUAGAAUUCCACGUGUAGCAGUGAAAUGCGUAGAGAUGUGGAGGAAUACCGAUGGCGAAGGCAGCCUCCUGGGAUAACACUGACGCUCAUGCACGAAAGCGUGGGGAGCAAACAGG